UUGAGACUAAUUGGUCCUAGAUAGAAGUCGAGUUGGCCCUAGCUAAAGGUCGUGACUAGUAAUACUUAGUCAUCUCAAGCUUUUGCUGCAAACAUGUUUGAAAGAAAUAGACCAUACCAGAAUUAUCAUGAUUCGUCCUCCAAUAGAUAUCAGCAGAACAGGCAACCUUAUGUUCCACCUCAACAAAGGCAGCAAUCUCAGCCUGAAAUGUCAAUGCAAGAUUUCAUGAAAACAAUAGUUGAGCAAAAUUCAGAAAUAAAGAAAUCAACUGCAGAGUUGACUUAGAGGGUGGAUAAGUUAGAGGCUAAGGAAUCAAAUAAAUUGCCUGCACAAACAGUGAUCAACCCGAGAAAUGUAAAUGUUAUUACUUUAAGAACGGGUAAGCAGGUAGAAGGCCCUGAAGGAGCCCAAGAGGAUGAAGAUAAAGAGAAAGAAGAAGCACAAAUUGAUGAUAAUGGAGGAUCAAGUGAGCCAUCACCUGAAACUACCACUGAAAAAUUCAGGUGAUUCUGGGAUUUGGGUUACUGUAGGUGCGAGUGGCGUGGAGGCGGCAAGGUGUCCCGCGAGGUGAUGUCGCGAUCAGAGAUGGAG
rnacentral:sRNA from 1 species